GUCAGUGUGGCAUAGCGGUUUGAGUGUUGGACUGUGAUUUUGGAGAUCAGGGUUCAAUUCCCUGCUUGGUCA